rnacentral:lncRNA from 1 species
UUAUUUGUUUGACUAUGCCAAGUCUUAGUUGCAGCACUCGGGAUACUCUGCCGAACACAAACUCUCUCUCUCUAGGUGCAGCCCAUGGGCUUCAAUAGUUGCUCCGCGGCAUGUGAGCUCUUAGUUCCCCAACCAGGAAGUAAACCCAAGUUCCCUGCAUUGCAAGGUGGGUUCUUAACACCAGACCACCAGGGAAGUCCCCAGAAAUAAGAAUUUUUAAAUCACCAUGUGAGUCCCACCAAUUUGCCUGCCUCACAGGGUUGCUCUAAACCAACUUGGGAGCAUGCACUGUGUUGGGAGCUCUGCCCGCUGGGGUUCUGAGCUCUUCUUUUCCUUUACUCUCCCACCAGCUGAGGAGGAAGGAGGUGCCCUGUUUCCAGCCCUCAUGGAGGAGACGGGGACUCACGGCGCUGAAGAAGUUGUCCUCUGUGGUGUACCUGAAGAGCAGUAGCUGAAAUUAUACAAAGGUGACCUCUACUGACCAAAGAAUGGAACUGUAGCUACACACCAUGCGCCCCCUGCCCUGCUCUUCCUUUCCAGUAUGAGGAAAUGACCAACACGAUCCCUGCUAUCUACCAGGUACUUCACAUAUAUUAUACCACAUGUCCUUGGAUUUUUAAUAUUUUCAUCUACAAGAUGGGCACCAUAACUCCUACUUCAUAGUUGAGGAAAGUGGGGUUCCUAGAACUGAACUGAUUUCCUGAGUUCCCAGUGUAAAGAGGUAUUGCUCAGAUCUAAGCCAGCUCUGUCUGAAGCCAAAGCCUUUGCUUUGUCUACCAGUCCCCUGAUACUCAAAGUACAGUCCAAGGACCAGCCUGGGCAAAACUGGGAGCAUUUACAAUGCAGACUGAAGCCCCACACCAGAUCUGCUGCUGCUGCUGCUGCUAAGUCACUUCAGUC